rnacentral:lncRNA from 1 species
UUAGGAAUUAGGUCCCGUUUGGUUGGGGGAUAAGCAGGGAUAACGAAAGUUAUCCCAGCUAUUCCGCCAAACGGGGUAAAAUUUGACCGGGAUAUUUUAUCCCGGUCAAACCUUGCUAUUCCCGGUUAUCCCGGAAUAGCAAGGGAUUUACUAUUCCACCAUUUUGGUGGAAUAGCACUAUUCCAAUGCUUAAUUUCAAACUUAAUUAAAAUUAUAAAUUGAACUAAAACUAAAUUAUAUAAAUAUAAUAUGUUAUAUAUUAUAAUACAAUAUUUUUAUUAUAAAAUUAUUAAUUGUACUAUAUUAAUACAUAUUAUUUAUAUUUAAAUAUUAUAAUAAAAUUUAUAAUAAAUUAUAUUUAAAUAUUAUAAUAAAUUCUUUUUAUUAAAUUUAAGUUUAAGUAGAAUUUUAAAAAAAUUUAUAAAUUUAUUAUAAUAAAUAGUUUUUAUUAAUUGUU